rnacentral:tRNA from 1 species
GAGGAUUUAGCUUAAUUAAAGUGUUUGAUUUGCAUUCAAUUGAUGUAGGGUGAGUCCUGCAGUCCUUA